rnacentral:lncRNA from 1 species
CACAAGAAGAAUAAGUUUGGUUUUUCAAAGGUUUCACGUGGGUUCCGGUCAGAAAGAUGCAUAUGAGGAAGCUCGACUCAAACAUCCACACGCAACUGAUUUCUGACUGGUAGACAGACGAGGAUGAUGAUCGCCUGUCAUACAUCUAAAGACAGAACAGGUUUGUUUGCAAUUAUUUUAAACACAUACUGUCAACAUUAUGUCAUUGAUCUAUUACAACCUGUGAGUUUUGCCCUGGCACUAUACUAAAGUGAUGUUUUGUUUUGUAAAUGUAUCUGAUUAAGGGACAGUAUAGACACAUCUAUACCAUGAUGAAGAAAAAUUACUUGGAACAAAGAGGCUGGAUAAAAGGCAGCACGACUGACUGUAGUUUUAAAAUCAUGCAACGUCAUAAAGCAGCAGCUGGGCCUGAUUCUCACAAAACCAAAACAGACGUGAUGAAAUUCCAGAUGUAAACACAUUUGACCUUGCUUUGGCCAAUUUGAUUUGGAAAAGCUUGAAAAUCAACUAAAGGAGCAGCCCGAACAAAUGAAGAAACUGGUAAGUUCAAGCUCUGCUAAUUUCAAAGUGUUUUAAGUUUAUUUUUUUUUUAUUGUUUUAUUUAUUUUUUUUUUUGCUUCGUAGGUAGCCUACUUUUUUCCUAAUUUUUUCUUUUUUUUACAUUAGUACUUGUUCACUACUAAUUAUCUGUUUAUCUUUUAAUCACAGAUGUAGUGAGGACAAAUGUCCAUACCACGCCACUGAUAAAGAAGUGGAAAAAUGCAUUACAAGAUAGCUACAACUUGCCCCUGACAGGGAUGGAGGAAGAAAGAAGAGAAAGCUAAUGUGUCAAAUGUCUACAUCACUAUUUUGUUUUAUUUUUUAAACAACAUUUUAAGUGUAUUAGGAUGUUCCCUGAUACUUGAACAAUUUGUUUCUUUCAUUUGCAUUUAUAUAUAUAUAUAUAUGUAUGUAUGUAUAUAUAUAUAUAUAUAUAUAUAUAUAUAUAUAUAUAUAUAUAUAUAUAUAUAGUGUGUGUGUGUGUGUGUGUGUGUGUGUAUGUGUGUGUGUGUAUAUAUGUAUGUAUGUAUGUGUGUGCGCCAAAUUCUGAAGAAACAUCUUGAUACAUUUUUAAUAAACGUAAUACAAAUAAAAUUAUAAAUAUAAAAUUGCACAAGACGUGUAUAUAUAUGAAAUGUAUAAUCAUCUCACUCAUGUCUUGCUGUUUGUGCAAUUGAUUUUGUUCAAGUUUAUUUAAAAAUAAGUUUGACUUUAUACUUCUGCAAUUAUAUAUAUAUAUAUAUAUAUAUAUAUAUAUAUAUAUAUAUAUAUAUAUAUAUUUGUUUGUUUUUUUAUUAUUUUAAUGUUUUAUUAAAAAAUGUUUCAAGAUGUUUCUUCAGAAUUCUGCAGUACUUUUUACAAGUUUGACUUGGAUAUUUUACGGAUUGUCAUUGGUAUUUUUAAGAUGUUUCUUGCUAUAUCUUAAAUUGGUUUCUAUAUUUAGGUUUAUAUAAAAUUUAGCUGUUUUUUACAAAUUUUUAAUUCAAGUCUAUUGGGAAAACAGGGUUGUUUUAAAAACAUCUGUGUUUGUGUGUAAUUUUUAGAAUUUUUGUUUAAAUCUUUCUGUGUGUCUUUAUUGUGUUGUUUUAUUGUUGUUUUUAUAUUGAUAUUCUUGUGCACUACAAAAUUAUUUAUAAAAUUUUAGUACUAUUUUUUUUUCUUGCAAUCAAUAAACGUUUAACAUUUAUUUAUUUUGUCAUUUGUCUGAUUAUUUUCGUUACAGAAUAUGUAUGCAGUUUGCACUUUAUUCAAAGGUUAAACGCAGUGCUUACACUUUGUGUUUACAUUAUAGCCUGUGUUUGCUGUAAUAUAAAUUCAAAUGGUUGUAAUACCAUAUAUCAAGUACCAAUGUAAUACCAAAAGGUUUUAUAAGGUGUAUAAAUACGGAGUCGCGCCAGCUCCGGGCCGCAGCGCACAUUACCCUCGCGCCGAUUUCGGCGCGGAUGCGCAGCGUCGGCACGCUUACGGCCGCCGCAUCUGGCCCGCUUGAUUCGGGCCGGAAUCAGGCAGUGAGUCCACAGGCAUCCGGCCCGAGUCCGGCAGCCGAAGUUGGGCCGAGGGGUAAGUCUCCGGCAGGCGACAAUCUAGCCGGAACUGGCCCGAGUGUAUUUUGCUAUCUGGGGUAGGUGGUUACUAAUUUACCUAUCACUGACUUUUUUUUUUUUUAAUAUGCUAAUUUUAACUCCCUUUAGAGUUAAAAUGUAGAGUUGUACCAUUCUUCAAUACAUUCAACCAAUCUCCAGGUCUUGUGAGGGCGCUUUUAGCUUAGCUUAGCAUAAAUCAUUGAAUUAGACCAG